rnacentral:rRNA from 1 species
UACGUAGGUCCCGAGCGUUGUCCGGAUUUAUUGGGCGUAAAGCGAGCGCAGGUGGUUUAUUAAGUCUGGAGUGAAAGCCCACGGCUUAACCGUGGAGGGUCAUUGGAAACUGGUUGACUUGAGUGCAGAAGAGGGAAGUGGAAUUCCAUGUGUAGCGGUGAAAUGCGUAGAGAUAUGGAGGAACACCAGUGGCGAAGGCGGCUUCCUGGUCUGCAACUGACACUGAGGCGCGAAAGCGUGGGGAGCAAACAGG